rnacentral:snoRNA from 1 species
CACUGAUGAUAUGAAUGGUCUGAAUCAAUUCUGAAGAGUGACCCUUUCACCCCUAUCUGAAG